GAGAGAGAGAGAGAGUAAGGGAUAUGAUAAAAUUGAAUUUAUCCUUAUCUCAAACGUUAUUUAUUUUAAAUAUAAUAUUUCAUAUGACAUUGUCUCAAGUAAACAAGAAUGAUAUUGCCUAUGAUUGUUUUUAUGCCUUUGUAAAGAGAGUUUGUUAUUUAAAACGUAAUCGAUUUAAAAAUAAAAUUUCUUACGAUAUUGCACCGAGAAAAAAAGAAAGAAUGUUAUUUACAAGAAAACCGUACUACCAUAUGCCCUAAAACGAAAAGGGAAAAGUAAUAAGAAAAAAAAAGAGAGAAAGGGAGAGAGAGAGAGAGAGAGAGAGAGAGAGAGAGAGAGAGAGAGAGAGAGAGAGAAAGAGAAUACCUAAUUCAGUAACUCGGCAAUAUCCUUUUACGUAACAACUCGGCUCGUAUCUGGCUUUGAUCUGAGAAGGGUGAAAGGGCCCGACCACGGGCCAACUCGUGUCGUUCGACUCGAUAAUUCGAACGCUUCGUUCGUUCCUUCCUUCGUCUAAAUGUAGCAGCCCUCCUCUUACAACGGUCUUUCCCCUCCUCCGCCCCCACCCCGCCCCCUCUCUCGCACCACCACUCUCCUUUUGCCUUUCAACGAGCGACGCACACAAACAAAACCGAUAAAUAUUCGACAAGAGACAACGGCUUGUUGUUAGUUUGGCCCUUCGCUCACAGAAACACGUGUUCCGUGUCCCACGCGAGAACGUGUAUCGGUCAAGUAUCGGAUUACUGUCAUGGGAUCACCCUUUAGGAACCCUGUCAGUCUGUCUGUCGAAGGUCAAGGACACGGGCGGAGUACACAGUUUCCAUUCAUCGACGAAGAGGGGGAAGACCUUUAAAACGAUCGGAAGGGGAUGAUAAAUGCUUCGCUUUAAAAUGUUUGACUACGUUAAUUAAUAUGAUGAGUACGAUCAAACGCUAACCAUGCUCUUUGAUAGUACGUACUAUGUUCUGAACGUUGAUCUCGUUUGUAAUCGAACUUUAUGGCAAAUAAACGAAAUGUCGAUAA